GGCUGGUUAGCUCAGUCAGUUGAGCGUGGCGCUAACAACACCAAGGUCGCGGGUUCGAUUCCCGUUCUAUCCC
rnacentral:tRNA from 1 species